CGGGUGGUAAUGCCGGAUGCUCCGACUCCUCGCAUGGGGUGUCGGGAAAGAUUUCAUCGGUAUGGGAUGGGGUCGCGUCCUAUCAGGUAGUCGGCGGGGUAACGGCCCACCGAGCCUACGACGGGUAGCCGGCCUGAGAGGGCGACCGGCCACAUUGGGACUGAGAUACGGCCCAGACUCCUACGGGAGGCAGCAGUGGGGAAUAUUGCACAAUGGGCGCAAGCCUGAUGCAGCGACGCCGCGUGCGGGAUGACGGCCUUCGGGUUGUAAACCGCUUUUGAUCGGGAGCAAGCCUUCGGGUGAGUGUACCUUUCGAAUAAGCACCGGCUAACUACGUGCCAGCAGCCGCGGUAAUACGUAGGGUGCAAGCGUUAUCCGGAAUUAUUGGGCGUAAAGGGCUCGUAGGCGGUUCGUCGCGUCCGGUGUGAAAGUCCAUCGCUUAACGGUGGAUCUGCGCCGGGUACGGGCGGGCUGGAGUGCGGUAGGGGAGACUGGAAUUCCCGGUGUAACGGUGGAAUGUGUAGAUAUCGGAAAAGAAACACCA
rnacentral:rRNA from 1 species